rnacentral:rRNA from 1 species
GCAUAUCAAUAAGCGGAGGAAAAGAAACUAACAAGGAUUCCCCUAGUAACUGCGAGUGAAGCGGGAAAAGCUCAAAUUUAAAAUCUGGCGGUCUCCGGCCGUCCGAGUUGUAAUCUAGAGAAGUGUUAUCCGCGCUGGACCGUGUACAAGUCUCCUGGAAUGGAGCGUCAUAGAGGGUGAGAAUCCCGUCUUUGACACGGACUGCCAGGGCUUUGUGAUGCGCUCUCAAAGAGUCGAGUUGUUUGGGAAUGCAGCUCAAAAUGGGUGGUAAAUUCCAUCUAAAGCUAAAUAUUGGCGAGAGACCGAUAGCGAACAAGUACCGUGAGGGAAAGAUGAAAAGAACUUUGGAAAGAGAGUUAAACAGUACGUGAAAUUGCUGAAAGGGAAACGCUUGAAGUCAGUCGCGUUGGCCGGGGAUCAACCUUGCUUUUGCUGGGCGUACUUUCCGGUUGACGGGUCAGCAUCAAUUUUGACCGUUGGAUAAAGUCUAGGGGAAUGUGGCAUCUUCGGAUGUGUUAUAGCCCUUGGUCGCAUACAACGAUUGGGAUUGAGGAACUCAGCACGCCCGCAAGGUCGGGUACUUGUACCACGUUCGUGCUUAGGAUGCUGGCAUAAUGGCUUUAAUCGACCCGUCUUGAAACACGGACCAAGGAGUCUAACAUGCCUGCGAGUGUUUGGGUGGAAAACUCGGACGCGUAAUGAAAGUGAAAGUUGAGAUCCCUGUCGUGGGGAGCAUCGACGCCCGGACCAGACCUUUUGUGACGGAUCCGCGGUAGAGCAUGUAUGUUGGGACCCGAAAGAUGGUGAACUAUGCCUGAAUAGGGUGAAGCCAGAGGAAACUCUGGUGGAGGCUCGUAGCGAUUCUGACGUGCAAAUCGAUCGUCAAUUUGGG